UACCAGCACCCCGAGUGGGCGGGACGAUUAUUGGGCCUAAAGCAUCCGUAGCCGGUUCUGCAAGUCCCCCGUUAAAUCCAGCUGCUCAACAGAUGGGCCGCGGAGGAUACUACAGAGCUAGGAGGCAGGAGAGGCAAGCGGUACUCAGUGGGUAGGGGUAAAAUCCGUUGAUCCAUUGAAGACCACCAGUGGCGAAGGCGGCUUGCCAGAAUGCGCUCGACGGUGAGGGAUGAAAGCUGGGGGAGCAAACCGG
rnacentral:rRNA from 1 species